ACAUGCAAGUCGAACGGGAUCUUCGGAUCUAGUGGCAGACGGGUGAGUAACGCGUGGGAACCUGCCCAGUAGUAGAGAAUAACUUGAGGAAACUUAAGCUAAUACUUUAUACACCCUCCGGGGAAAAGCUUUAUGCGCUAUUGGAUGGGCCCGCGUUAGAUUAGUUUGUUGGUGAGGUAAUGGCUCACCAAGACUACGAUCUAUAGCUGGUCUGAGAGGAUGAUCAGCCACACUGGGACUGAGACACGGCCCAGACUCCUACGGGAGGCAGCAGUGGGGAAUAUUGGACAAUGGGGGCAACCCUGAUCCAGCGAUGCCGCGUGAGUGAUGAAGGCCUUCGGGUUGUAAAACUCUUUCGUCAGGGAAGAUAAUGACGGUACCUGAAGAAGAAGAUCCGGCUAACUCCGU
rnacentral:rRNA from 1 species